CUGGCAUUUUCCACGGCGGCCACACCCGCCCAGUUCCCGCGAACCACCGCUGCGCGCAGUCCUGGAAAGCUGUGGGACACGGCGGACUGUUGGCUGCAGACACGUUAAGGCCGCAUUUCACUACUGGGACUAUUUAGCCGGUUAGCGCGCUGCCGCUGGGGUUUAUUCUGCUCUUCGUCCGAAGAGUAUGGCGGAGAGCGACUGGGACACGGUCACCGUGCUGAGGAAGAAGGGUCCGACGGCCGCGCAGGCCAAGUCCAAACAGGCUAUCAUAGCAGCACAGAGGCGGGGAGAAAGUAUUGAAACCACAAAGAAAUGGUCGGCAGGACAGAACAAGCAGCACCUGGUGACAAAGAACACGGCCAAGCUGGACCGCGAGACAGAGGAGCUGCACCACGAAAGAGUCUCACUAGAGGUGGGCAAGGUCAUCCAGCAGGGCCGCCAGAACAAGGGAAUGACGCAGAAGGACCUGGCCACUAAAAUCAACGAGAAGCCCCAAGUUAUUGCCGACUAUGAAAGCGGGAAGGCCAUUCCCAACAACCAGGUCAUGGGCAAGAUUGAGAGGGCCAUCGGAUUGAAGCUGCGUGGAAAGGAUAUAGGACAACCCCUCGAAGCAAAACCCAAGAAAAAAUGAGGACAAAGCCUCGAAAUCAGCCCCCCUGCCUUCAUCCCUGCACAGGAAACAUCUCCGUACUUACCUCCAUUUACCCACUAACCCCACUCCUUGCCCGGGCUGAUCUGACCUGGUGUCUCCUUCAACAUCAGUAGGAAGACUCUGCCAAGCUGUACUCAUGGAUGUGUUGGAUGAAGCCGAUGUAAAGGAUUAACUGACAGGAUCUGAAAUGUCAAUGACCACAUGCAGUGGGUUUCUCCUUGACACGAACAGCGACUUGGCCCCCUUUGCUAAGCGAAGGUCUCCUCUCACACGGCCGAAAUCACUGCUGAUUGAUUUCAAAUUGUAUCGGUUAUUAGUUACUGGCCUAAGAGGGCCCCUGAGCCGGUGGAGUUUGCUUUGGAGCGUACAGAGAACGCCACGUCACAGAACAAGAGUGGAACUUUCGGCAUUUUGAACGAACCUUGGUUUCUGGUUUCAAGGUCUCUUCGUGCUGUAUGUAGGCUGUGCACUUGUCAGUGAGGGUGGAGAACCCUCAAAGUCUUACAGGAUUAGCAAAGAUUUGGCAGUAUUGUCUGCAGUACGAGACACUAUCCAGAGACUUGUACUUUAAGUCAUGAUGUGAGGAAGACGACCUGGUGCCGUUCUCAUUCUUUUUUUUCCCCCGCCCCUUACCGUGGACCAGCAUGAACUUUGGCACAGUGUGUUUGUGAGUCUGAGUGCUUGUCUGCACACUGGCACUCAUCAGACAGAGACAAGACAUCCGCCUUUAACACCGCAGCAGCCAUCGCCCUAUGGUCACUGAUAAGGUGAUAAAGGUAGGAAUGAAAAUGUUCUUACGGCCAAAAAGAGCAAACUCAUGACCUAAAAAGGCCUUUUUUGCCCAGUGAGCAAAAUUCCUUUUAAAAUUAUGUGCAAAAAAAUGCAUUUUUGUCAUCCUGUACCUUGGUAACUGAACAAGAUCCAUGUGGAUUUCCCUUAUGAAUUAUUUUUACAUACAGAUCAUUUUUAAAGUGCAGAGACACAGCUAAAUUUUAGAAUGUGUUGUCUUCGCUGCUUCAGCAGUUACCCUAGUCUUUGGGUGUUAACCCCAGAAGCGUUAACUGUUGGGUUAGUCAGCUGCCAAAGUUUUCCGUUUUACUGAACUGCAGAACACAACACUGAUGACCGAAUGAGGGGAAGGUCAAUGGGCACAAGAGCUUUUGAGCUCUUUGAAUUAGUUCAAUGAAAGGAUUAGAGCCGAAAGGCCUUCAGCUCCAAGAAUGAUGUUCAACUAGAACUCUGUCACUCAUUGACCAUCAGCUCUGAGUUUAGCUAACCAGACUGAAGGUCUAGUAAACCCUUCCUUGUGUCAUCCAUGGUCCUCUCGCCUCUUUUCUGCACUUGUUCUGGUCUCAGCAGGUUGGGAAGAGAGGGGGUUGCAGACCUGCCCGUUCGGUGGAUGUAGAUUUUUGAAAUUCUGCCGCUAAGAGGAAAACGGAUGUGGACUUCUUGGGCUCGUCUGCCACACUUUUCCAAGGCACCGGGUAUUAAAAGAGGGUAGCUUGCCUAUCAGCACAGAGACACCCUCGCAGAACAUCCGUCUCUUCCCGUCAGCCUGCCAAGUCGUUGCCAUGGCAACUAAGGCAAAUUCUCUCAGCACUGACACGUACCAUCCUCAUUUCAUUCCCUUGCUCUCGUACUGUUUCUCAUUAAUAAGGACCAACUCUGACAACCAUUCAUUUUGGUCCAUUGGUAAAAUAAAUUAUUUGUACUUUAUAUUACCCCUCCCCCAUAGACCUGCAUUUAUUCAGCAGGCUCUGAAACUGUACAGCAAAGGAACAUGAUUUGCCCCUGACAUCAUGCCAGGCUUUUUUUUUUUUUUUGCCUGAAAUGUGACUGUUCUUACUGCUCUGGGCAAUAAAGCCACUAGUUCAUGGAAAUAAAACAAACAUUUUGAAAAGCAGAGCAAAUCCAUACACAGAACAAAAAAUAUCACUGUAAAAUCAGCUGAGGCAAGGUUCCAGAAAAAUAUUCAACAGGCAGUUUCCAUGGAAACUUAGGAGUCCUCGCAGAGGGCUACAGA